GAUGAACGCUGGCGGCGUGCCUAAUACAUGCAAGUCGAGCGAACAGACGAGAGUGCUUGCACUCUCUGACGUUAGCGGCGGACGGGUGAGUAACACGUGGGUAACCUACCUAUAAGACUGGGAUAACUUCGGGAAACCGGAACUAAUACCGGAUAAUAUUUAGCUUCGCAUGAAGCAAUAGUGAAAGACGGUUCUGCUGUCACUUAUAGAUGGACCCGCGGUGUAUUAGCUAGUUGGUGAGGUAACGGCUCACCAAGGCAACGAUACAUAGCCGACCUGAGAGGGUGAUCGGCCACACUGGGACGGGGACGCGGACCAGACUCCUGCGGGAGGCAGCAGAAGGGAAUCUGCCGCAAUGGACGAGAGUCUGACGGAGCAAUGCCGCGUGAGUGGAGAAGGUUUUCGGAUCGUAAAGCUCUGUUGUGAGGGAAGAACAAGUACGUUAGUAAAUGAACGUACCUUGACGGUACCUGACCAGAAAGCCACGGCUAACUACGUG
rnacentral:rRNA from 1 species